rnacentral:rRNA from 1 species
CCUACGGGUGGCUGCAGUGAGGAAUAUUGGGCAAUGGGCGGAAGCCUGACCCAGCAACGCCGCGUGGAGGAAGACGGCCUUCGGGUUGUAAACUCCUUUUACGGGGGAAGAGGAAGGACGGUACCCCGAGAAUAAGUCACGGCUAACUACGUGCCAGCAGCCGCGGUAAUACGUAGGUGACAAGCGUUAUCCGGAAUUACUGGGCGUAAAGCGCACGCAGGCGGCGCAUUAAGUCUGAUGUGAAAUCUCCCGGCUUAACUGGGAGGGGGCAUUGGAAACUGAUGUGCUUGAGGCGGUGAGAGGGGUGUAGAAUUCCCGGUGUAGUGGUGGAAUGCGUAGAUAUCGGGAGGAAUACCAGUGGCGAAAGCGGCACCCUGGCACUAGCCUGACGCUCAUGUGCGAAGGCGUGGGGAGCGAACGGGAUUAGAUACCCUUGUAGUC